UACGGGGGAGCAAGCGUUGUUCGGAUUUACUGGGCGUAAAGAGCGCGCAGGCGGUCGUUCAAGUCGCGUGUGAAAGCCCCCGGCUCAACUGGGGAGGUCACGCGAUACUGAUCGACUCGAAGGCAGGAGAGGGUAGUGGAAUUCCCGGUGUAGUGGUGAAAUGCGUAGAUAUCGGGAGGAACACCAGUGGCGAAGGCGACUACCUGCCUGUUCUUGACGCUGAGGCGCGAAAGCUAGGGGAGCAAACGGGG
rnacentral:rRNA from 1 species